GAUGAAGAACGCAGCGAAAUGCGAUAAGUAAUGUGAAUUGCAGAAUUCAGUGAAUCAUCGAAUCUUUGAACGCACAUUGCGCCCGCCAGUAUUCUGGCGGGCAUGCCUGUUCGAGCGUCAUUUCAACCAUCAAGCCCCCGGCUUGUGUUGGGGACCUGCGGCUGCCGCAGGCCCUGAAAACCAGUGGCGGGCUCGCUGUCACACCGAGCGUAGUAGAUUUUCAUCUCGCUCAGGGCGUGCUGCGGGUUCCGGCCGUAAAAAGCCUUAUUUACCCAAGGUUGACCUCGGAUCAGGUAGGAAGACCCGCUGAACUUAAGCAUAUCAAUAGCGGAGGA
rnacentral:misc_RNA from 1 species